rnacentral:rRNA from 1 species
AUGCAAGCAGCAAACAAGUCAGUGAUGAUCAUGCAAUGGCGACACCCUGAUCCACAAAGCCGUCCUGGUGCCCACGCCCGAUGGCGGGGCGAUGGUGGUUAUCAUCUACUUCCAGCCGCACCGCCACCAGUGGGCAAUGGAUCGACCCGGCAAGAGCACCUGGAAACGCCGGCAGCAAGCACAAGAAGGUCGAGGCCGUCGAGUCCCUCCCGAGGGCGGAGGGAAACAAGCGGCCGUGCUUCUGGUUCACGCCGUUCUAAUCAUAGUGACAGUGAGACUGAUCGUGAUGCAAUGUCUGCGAGUUGUGCAAUGUCCAUAGAGAGUCUGUAG